CGAGCCCCUGCAACCGGGACGCCCGGCGCGCUUCUGCCGCUCAUGGUGCCUCGGCGAGCAGCGCCCGGAAGGCGGCGGUGGCACAGGAGCGAGGGUUCGGACUUGUCCCGGGAUCGCCGUUAUCCGGUGCAGCGUGCUUGGGGGACGGGGAAAGAAGAGAGAAUGCUACACUGGGUGCUAUGGAAGAUACAAAGACAAAUGAGAUAGUGACAAGAGACUCUUGUUAAAAUUUUGAAAACACAUCCUUGAGUCCUCCUGCAGAAAUCCUCGUUUUUCGUCCCAAGUAUCCUGCUUUGUUCAGAUGCGUGGCUUCUUCCUCAGCUGGCAUGGGUUCUGGCCAUUCAUCCGCGGGCCACUGUCCUUUGAGCAAGCUUUGCCUGCGUCUUGCUGAGAGCACAGAGCUCCUGUCACACUUGGAUUUGAUAAACAAGCUACUUCUGGCCUCGUUGAAGUUAUUAAUAAACACUCUUCAUGACAGAAAGCUGUGGGAAGAUCUACUAAAGACCUCCCUCUGAAAUACAUUGGUUGUCACCCCCUAGUCCAGUUUUCACCUUGUCACACAUCCGCCACCUGUCUAACUGUUCAGCCCAUGCUCCCCCAUCUUGCUAAUAGAAACCCCACGAGAAAUGUGUUAAAAUCUGCCUUCUUGAAAUAAAAUCUUGAA